GCCCCGUUAGCUCAGUGAAUAGAGCAACGUCCUUCUAAGGCGUGGGUCGAUGGUUUGAAUCCAUCACGGGGUA
rnacentral:tRNA from 1 species